CUGAAACAAUAUUGACAAUUGGCGCUUUUUGCCUCCAUUGGCAAUGUUCGUUAACCCCAGUACACUAGUAGUGCCAUCUGCGCCGAGCUUUACGUACUAUUCCCUAUUCCAUGAGCUGGGCACUUCAUCGAACCAUAAACAUAGCUUUCGUUGUCACUGUCACUGUCCUCUAUCAAAUUUGGAUAAAAAUAAACUCGAUGUCAAAAUAAAAUGAUAUUGAUUGUUUACAUUUUCUUAAUUUACGUGCCUAAAAUUAGUUACGAAAGAUACGAUCAUUUAAAAUACAAUUUCUAUUUUGAUUAAAAUACAUACACUUAACAUUACGUAACCACGCGAGCAUAAUGGUUCAAGAGUUAAAGUUAAUAAUUUCAGAUACUAAAAGAACAAUUGAUACCAUAUCGAAAGAAACUCAUGACACUAAUCCUGCGUUCAUGGUCCAGGCGUUAAAUGAAUUCCGUCAACAAGUUAAUGCUGCAAUAACAAAGUUAAUUGAAGAUCCUGACGAUACAAGUGACAUCAUGGAAGAGGAUGAAGGUGACAAUGAUAAUGAUGAAGAAAUAAUUGAAGUAAGUCCCAAGAAGCAGAAAAAGUAGUUAAAUAUGUAGUUUGUUAAGUAUUGUAAGUAAAUAAAACUAAUAUACAUUU